rnacentral:misc_RNA from 1 species
UGUAUGAGUUGUGWUUGGGWUGUUUAUGCUGGCUGGCUCCGUGCUUUUGCAUCGAACGGUUGGCAUGCAACCCCGUUUCAAGUUGCGGUGGCGCGUGAUUGCGGUUCCUGUGUUGCCUACCUCUCGAAUGGUACUCGCGUGGCUUGUCGGAUUUUGUCCAUCCAGUUCUCCUCCUCCGAGGGGCGCUGGGGGACUUCAAAGUGGUACACAUGCUCCACGUUGUUACUGAAGCAAUUGCGGUGCAUGUGUACUUGUUGCUCUCUCGGGUGCGGUGCAUGAGAUGAAACAUGGGAAACUUUCCUCCCAUUAAGUCCCUUUAAUCUCGGUUCCCUUGAAUGACACUUGCCUUCGCGCUCGCUUGCUCUCCAUUCGUGGUUGCAUGCGGGCACCGAUGAGCAAAGUUGUUAACGGAUG